GAGUAGGGAUUUAAAUUUAGGCCCGAGUUCUUUGAACUGUUGUCUGUAUCUACUGGAUUAGUUGCUUCUUUUUUCUAGAGGUUUGUUUCCCCUUUUUUUUCCUUGCUUGGAUGGCUUUUGUGUCUAUAACGUUGAUUCGAUUUAGAGCCUUCAGCAUAAGCAUUUGAUGUCUAUCACAUUUGUACCGAAGUAUUCUAGCUUAGGGAUUGUUUAUUACGAGGCAAUAUUAUGGGUGU